AAUGAACGUUGGCGGCGUGGAUUAGGCAUGCAAGUCGCGCGGAAAGGCCCCGCAAGGGGUGCUCGAGCGGCGUAAGGGACAGUAAUGCGUAGAUACCUACCCUUCGGCCCGGGAUAGCUGCGGGAAACUGCAAUUAAUACCGGAUAACAUCGCAAGAUCAAAGGUGUGAUUCCCCCGUUGGAUGGGUCUGCGUCCUAUUAGCUAGUUGGUGAGGUAAUGGCUCACCAAGGCCAAGAUGGGUAGCAGGUGUGAGAGCACGACCUGCGUCACUGGGACUGAGACACUGCCCAGACACCUACGGGUGGCUGCAGUCGAGAAUCUUCGGCAAUGGGCGCAAGCCUGACCGAGCGACGCCGCGUGCGGGAUGAAGGCCCUCGGGUUGUAAACCGCUGUCGUAGGGGAGGAAUGGCCGGAAGGUUCUCCUUUCGGUUUGACCUAUCCUAGGAGGAAGUCAGGGCUAAGCUCGUGCCAGCAGCCGCCGUAACAC
rnacentral:rRNA from 1 species